UCUCCCUACGGGGGGCAGCAGUGGGGAAUAUUGCACAAUGGGGGAAACCCUGAUGCAGUGACGCCGCGUGCAGGAAGAAGGUUUUCGGAUUGUAAACUGCUUUAGACAGGGAAGAUAAAAGACAGUACCUGUAGAAUAAGCUCCGGCUAACUACGUGCCAGCAGCCGCGGUAAUACGUAGGGAGCAAGCGUUAUCCGGAUUUAUUGGGUUUAAAGGGUGCGCAGGCGGAAUGUCAAGUCAGCGGUAAAAUUUCGGUGCUCAACCCCGUCGUGCCGUUGAAACUGGCGUUCUUGAGUGAGCGAGAG
rnacentral:rRNA from 1 species